rnacentral:rRNA from 1 species
UGGGGAAUAUUGGACAAUGGGCGAAAGCCUGAUCCAGCCAUGCCGCGUGAGUGAUGAAGGCCUUAGGGUUGUAAAGCUCUUUUACCUGGGAAGAUAAUGACUGUACCAGGAGAAUAAGCCCCGGCUAACUUCGUG